AGAAAUUUUCCCCAUUCACCAAGUGAAAUCAAAUCCCUGCUUCGUUAUCUCUCCUGCUGUUUCAUCUCCCCAAAUUUCCUACCCAUUCCAUUUACUCUUCUCCAGUUUCCCAACGUCCUCUCCUCGAAAUUUUCUGCCCAAUUGUCUGUCUGUGUGCAUUCCCACUAUUCUCUCUAUCUGAAUUUUUUCUUCUUGGAAGGAGGUGUUUUGAAAUUGAAAGCAUAUGUUUUUGAAUUUCAAAAUCAAAAUUUUGUGGAUCACUAAUCUGCCCACUCUAUUUAGAGGAAAUUUCAUCUGACCAUAGCUCCCUCCUCCUCUCUCGCCAAGCUCCACCACACCAAGGAAUUCGCGUCACCCUUUUCCGACCUAACCAGAAGCGGUCUUCUUCCUCGAGAGCUACUAAUUAGACCUCGCCGCUGCCGGUUUAACCUUCCUAGACGACUCCCAUAUCAACAACCUCCCCCACCUUUGCACGCGGAGAAUUUGAGUUGGGUUUUCAGUUUCAGCGGCAAAAUCUCCAGAGCCUACAGUUGAUUUCUACACCGUGGGAAAUGUGAAGCAUCAACAUGAAGCUAAUGUUGGAUGUUGAAAACCUUUCAAUGGAGUCAUUGAAAAGAGGAAUGGUUACUCCAUAGAUCAAUUUAAGAAUGGGGUCAUAGAGUCCAGUUACUGCUCAGUUUAUUUAAGCUGGAUUCAUUUCUCCUUUCAGAUUUUUGAUUCUUUUAGUUGCAGUGAAGAAAUCGGCAGAUUUAAUUAAGGUAUGGUGUUAUGUAUACACAUUUUCAAAACCAGGAUCCAUCUAUUAAUGGCUGGAGAAGCAAAGUGGAAUACUCUUGACAGAUGAUUUUUGUUCAUUGAGCAAGAAAAUGAAGAUUUUCAAUACAAGUUCUUGGAAAAUCUCAUCGAUUAUUUGGAGUACUAUUUUUGUGUAAUGGAAGGAGUGAUUUUGAGCUGAAUCCCUUCUCUUCUUUUGUCAUUAUUGACUUUCUUUGUUCCUCUUUAUUUGAUCUGAAUCACUUCUCUGUCAAAUCCUCAUCAAGAUUUAUAAAUUGAACUCCUUUAUCAAGAGAUUUUGAAAAUGCCCCUCAAACUAGGACGCUCUUCAUUGAUGUGCUUGGUUCUGGGCAUCUAGCUAACAAGUAGAAAAAAUCAUAUGACCUUUCUUUGGACCUUUCUUUGAUUAAGUGAUGUGUGUAAUUUUAUGUUUGGGAAAUGUGGCUUUGUCUAGAUCAUCACUAAAAGGGGGUGAGCUUGCCCCAUAGAAGAGUUUCUUGGAAAUCUGUAGAAGAGCUUCCUUUAAUGUUAUUAAUAAUAGUUAUGAUUUUUUUUACACGAUGUGGAUUGAAAUUAAAGUCUGGGGUCUUCAUUUUUGGCAGGUAGUUUAUUCAAAUGGAUUGGUCUGGUCUCUUUAAGUUCCAGAUUUUCUUUGCAGUUUUUGAUGAUUGAAGCAGCUUACUAAGGUGUCCGAAUAGGAAGGACAUUCAAGGUAUUCCAUGGGAGAACUUGAACAUGAUAGAAUGUGAUGGAAGAAUAUCCAUAUGAAGAUGUUGGUGUAGUUACAAACUCAACCAGAUAGUGGGAGAGAGAUUUGAUGUCUUUGUGAGCAUUGUGAGCUCCAAAAUCCCAUUCAAAGGAACUGGAAAGAAUAUAUUGGAGAUGACAUUCAAUAUUGUUUCUGCUGUCAAGGUCCAAAGAUUUCAAUUCAAUAACAUUUAAUUUUAUCAAUGUUAAGUAAGCUAACCUCAUUAUUUUUCUCUAAUCUCCAGUCUGCUAUUCAGAAGUGUUGCAUCUAAUUAAAAUCAAUGAUUCUGAACAGGAUGCAGGCCCGUAAGCAGAGGAAAGGAAGUGGAAUAUGUACAUGUAUACCUUAGUUUUGUUGGGAUCAGUAGUUUAUUGAACAUAAGUUUAUUGAGCAAGCAUAUCUCUAAAAUAUCUGCAUUUUCCCCAGCCUUAUUGCUGAUUAGUUUUGGGACUUAUAUCUAUCUUUUUUAUUUGUAGAACUUGCUAAGUCAACUUUCUGGUGCAGAUAAUGAUGAGUUUGAUGGAGAAAAUUAGAAUGCUUCUGCCUUCCUUCCACAGGUUGUCAUUGGAAAGAUGAAUGCUUAGUCCAUAGAGCAAUGUAAGAAGUUUGGGAAUUCGUCGUCGAAUGCCAUACUUUCUGGCUUUUCAAGGAAGAGAUGUUACAACAUUACAUCCAAAUAUGCAAGAACAAUAGACUCAUUAUGUUAAGUGAAAUUAGCUAAUGAAGUUUAUCAAGAAUGUUAGCUGUCACUGAAAUGGACUGAGAAGAUAAAGAACUAUCGUAGAUACUAAUGCGAUAAACAAUUCUUUGAGGCAGAUUAUUGAGGUGACACUUUGAUAUGAUGAAUUGAUGACAAUUUUAAAGGACCAAUGAUGAAAUAUGCGAUGUCACCAUGAUCUUUAGAGUUCGGAGGAUUGAGUUCCAUUUUGUAAGCAUAUUGUGACAAUUUUAACAACUUGAUUAACUUUCUUUAGGUGCCCACGUGUUUUUUAGCUUC